CCUACGGGAGGCAGCAGUGAGGAAUAUUGGACAAUGGGGGCAACCCUGAUCCAGCCAUGCCGCGUGUGUGAAGAAGGCCCUCGGGUUGUAAAGCACUUUCAGUGAGGAAGAACGCCUGGUGGUUAAUACCCAUCAGGAAAGACAUCACUCACAGAAGAAGCACCGGCUAACUCCGUGCCAGCAGCCGCGGUAAUACGGAGGGUGCGAGCGUUAAUCGGAAUUACUGGGCGUAAAGCGCGCGUAGGUGGCUUGAUAAGCCGGUUGUGAAAGCCCCGGGCUCAACCUGGGAACGGCAUCCGGAACUGUCAAGCUAGAGUGCAGGAGAGGAAGGUAGAAUUCCCGGUGUAGCGGUGAAAUGCGUAGAGAUCGGGAGGAAUACCAGUGGCGAAGGCGGCCUUCUGGACUGACACUGACACUGAGGUGCGAAAGCGUGGGUAGCAAACAGGAUUAGAUACCCGAGUAGUC
rnacentral:rRNA from 1 species